rnacentral:piRNA from 1 species
UCCAGGACCGUCCACUUAGCCGUGGGGACA